GUCUGCAUGUACCAUCUGGAAUUGCUACAGCCAACUUGCAAAUAUAAAGGAGGGCUUUGUUAACCUGCUGAGCCCAGCAGAGUGGAAAUCUGCAGAGCACCAGGCUCCUGGGAACUGACCACCUUCAGACUCUUGCUACCUAAGGACAGUCAGGACUGGAGAGUUGAAAAUGACACUACUGGCACUUGAAUGAAAUCACUGGAGCAGGGAUGACGACUAUCACCUGUUGAUUAUUGACAAGAUCCAUCUAUGUCAUGAAAUGUAGAG
rnacentral:lncRNA from 1 species